CUCAUUACAUUUAUUGUCACACUAUUUAACAGAAUAGUGAGGACUACUAAUACUAUCAUCUGGACCGUCACUCCGUUCCCCGACUAGUCCCGGCUACGUUCUCAUUUCCUGAAGAGAACAGUGAAAGAAAGGGUGAGCUCAACUAGCCCAGUAAGAAAUAUUAUGACUAAGAUAAUGCAGAAUAAAUUAUCAUUAGUCUUCAACAAUGUUAAACUGAUAAAAUACAAUAGACAUCAAGUUUAACUGCAGCGGAAUAAGCAAUCUAUUAGAAGAGUCAAGUAGAGCAUGAUAUCUACUAUCUUCUAUGAUUUAAAAUGUUUUCAUCAAUUUUUAUCGCUGAGACUCAGCUUAAUAAAUAAACCACAUCAUCGAGUCAUCCUUGCACUACGGGCCAAGGAUAUUCAUUAAAUCAUCAAUGGUCAUGACUCUACCGAAUAAUCCUUGGUCAUAAUCAUACCAAAAAUUGUCCAUCAAUGCACUAUAGGCUACCGAUGACUUUUACCACAUCAUUUAUAACAUUACAGGUCAUGAUUAUUGAUGAGUGAGUUUUAUACCCAUGAAUUGAAUGCGUUUGAGCUUAAUCUUUUGGAUGUUUUUAAGUGUUUGUGUCUAUUCAUGCAUGUUUUACGUUGUUUUGUAGGAAUUGGGACAAAAUUUACUUGGAUCGACGUUUGGGGUGGCUAGAUUCGCGUUUUUGGCUUGCCAUUUACACAGCAGUCACUUCAACGCCAAUUUGAGUAUUGUUCUGGACCUUAUUUCGAGAUCUCAAAGAAUUAAAGUUGUAGAUCUACGUCUCCUCUUUCCGGAAUAUCUUGAAUCAUCAAAAUCGGAGUUCGGACGAAGAAGUUAUAGCCAUUUUCUCAAAGGUCGUCGGAGCAGAAAAUGUCAGAAUAUGUGCCAGCGCCAGGGCGUCCAUUUUAAGCCUAUGCCCAGCGCCGGGGCACUGAGGAGCAGGGUUGCAGCGCCAUGCCCAAUGCUGGGGCGCUGGGGAAGAGACUGGGAAGGCUUGGACACAUUUUUGGGCAAAUUUUGACACCUUUUUGACUCCAAAUUGGAUUGAGUUUGUUCCUAAGCUAAAAAUUGGACUUGUAACCUAUAAAUACUUGAUGUAAGGCAUAAAAUAAGGGAGAUUACAUAGAUUAGAUUAGAGAUACACUCCAUUAGAUUAGAACAUAACCCUAGUUCUUAUUAGUUUUGGAGAUUGAAGCAACUUGGAGACCAUUGAAGAUUCAAAGCAGGAGCGAAAGAGGAGUCUCAAGACUACUGACAAUAGAUUUUCUUCUCUUCUCUUCUCUUCUCUUACUUCUAUCUUUUAAUGUUUAUUCAGUUGUGGAAUCUUGAUUUUAAUUCAAUAAUUAUGAACUAAUUUUUUCAUUAAGAUUUCAAUUGAACCUUUUAUGUCUAUAAAUUAGUUAUUCAAUUUAUUCCAAUUAUUUGUGUGAAAGUGAGUUGUUUAUCUUGCCUUAUGCUUAUUGAUUAAUUAUUUGGCCAAUAAUUACCUUGUUACUCUAGAAGGAAUUGAAAGAGGAGAUCUAGGGUUAGAACUGGGCAUGAUGACAUGUGACUUAGUUAUUUGCACAGUAAAUAAUUAGGUUUGUGAAUGAAAUGGAAAUAUCUCUUCGCCGCAUGUAACAUAUAAGGAAUUGGGAUUGAAAAGAGUUUAAUUCAAUUGUUUUGCAUAGGAAUAUAGCAAGAUUAAUCUGGAUUAAAUAGAAGGCAAUUGAUCACUUCGAAAAUGACUUUUGACAUUUGAGAAUUCCUGUUAACAAUUCAGUAGGCAUAAUAAUUGGGAUAAUUGGAUAAAUGAUUUAUAGUUCGUAAUUGGGGAUAUUGGAGUCUUAACCUUUAUUUAUUUGAAUUCAUUUAUAAAGCAAUUCAGUUUAAUUAGUUAAUUUAGUUUUCUUAAUUAGAAAAAUUACGAUUUGAGAUUGUUUAAAUAAAAUUAGUUUGGUUAAGAAUUAGUACUUGGUGAUUUUUAUUAAAUAAUUCCUCGUGGGAACGAUACUCUACUUUCACUUUAUUACUUGUUGACCGUGUAUACUUGCACGUAUUCAUUGAUUGCGAAAUCGAUCAACAAUUAUACCGAAUAAUCCUUGGUCAUAAUCAUACCAAGUCCAUCUAUGUACGUAAGCCAAAGAUGACUUUCAUCACAAUAUAAGCAUGAGGAUGAUGACAAUGACAUAAUAAUUCAAUAAAACAAGUUCAAGAAUAAAUUUUAAAGAUUUAUAAGUUAAUUUAUCUUGAAAUCAAUUACGUCCAAAUUGUCAACAUGAUACUGCUUUGUGGAGUAAAAUUCAAGAAUGCUCAAAAGAAUAUUUUCAUAAAAAGAUAACGGAUGAAGCGCAAAUAUCCAGGAUAUUCUACUAAUUUCAUGGAAUAUAGAAGCCAAAACUUUAACCAAAUGAGUAUCAUAGAAUAUAUGAAAUUGAAAAUGGAUUUUCACCCGCAAUGCUGUAAUCCACGUAGACAGAUCAUUUCCAUAAUUUAAUAAGGAAUGAAAACGAAGGAUCAUUCACCAUGCAUGUGAUAAUCCAUAUGGACAUGUUAUUCCAACAGAAUAAUAAAGAAUGGAACCAGGUCUAGCGUAAUCCGCACAGACAGGAUAUUCCAACAGAAUAAUAAAGAAUGGAACCAGGUCUAGCGUAAUCCGCACAGACAGGAUAUUCCAACAUAAUAAUAAAGUAUGAAAUAACAAAGAAUUCACCAUGCAUGAGAUAGACCGCACAGACAGGUUAUUCCAACAGAAUAAUAAAAAAUGGAACUAGGUCUAGCGUAAUCCGCACAAACAGGAUAUUCCAACAGAAUAAUAAAGAAUGGAAUAACAAAGAAUUCACCACCGCACAGAUAGGUUAUUCCAACAGAAUAAUAAAGAAUGGAACCAGGUCUAGCGUAAUCCGCACAGACAGGAUAUUCCAACAAAAUAAUAAAGAAUAAAAUAAUAGAAGAAUUUUACCAUGUAUGCAGUACUUCGCAUAGACAGGUUAUUUCAACAUAAUAAUAAAGAAUGGAAUAACAGAAGCUCUCUUCAUGAAUACGAAAGAAAUAAUAUCCCUUACCUUAAAUUAAAGCUAGAUACUAGAAUAGAGAGGUAGCAGACUUCUCUUCUUCUUUCUAUCUAUAAUUUUUCUCUAUAAUAAUUGCUCUAUAGCUUUAGUGAAUUGGUGAGAAAUGAAGGAAGAAUGAGCUUCUAUUUAUAUAAAAAUAUAAUUUCGAUAAUUGCACGUUUUGGGACUUGAAAUAUUACAGUACAAUACCUCCAACUUUUCUUUCAUUUUUAAUUUAGUCUUGCAAGUAUUAUCAAACUUGCACCACCUCCCUUAAUAGUAAAUAAUGUGAAUCAAUAGUUCAAUCAUGUGAUUCAAUAGUUAUAAUCAUGUGAAAAUAUGAAUAACAGUAUAGUACCUCCAUCUUUAACUUAGUCAUGCAAGUAUUAUUAAUCUUGCACCACCUCCCCUAAUAGUACAUGAAUGUGAAUCAAUAGUACACACAUGUGAACAAAUAGUUAUAAUCAUGUGAAUUAAUAGCAAUUAAUUCCUCAUUUAUCCGAUUAAUUACCCGAUAACUUCCAGACAUUAAUUAUUAUCAAAAUAAAUGUCAAUUUUCACAAACACUAAUAAUUCCAACACAAUGGAACUAUCAAUUUCAUCUUUAACCAACAUGAAUUUAUUCACAUUAAUAUUAUAACUCACAAUAUUUAACAACCAGGUCGUUUCCAGGAAAGAGGAGGCUUUCCGAUAAGGAUUUCUCCUUAUUGGCGCACAAUUAGAUGACCAAACCUCUCCUUGCAGAACUUCUAGACAUUGUAAAUAUUGUAAUUUAAUAAUAUGAAUAACUUUAUCAUCUCAAUUAUUGAUUUAAUAGUAUAUCAUAUUAUACAGAUGAUACUGUGACAAUAAUCGAAUCAAUAAUAUGAGAGAUAUGAUGCAACAAUUACUGUAACAAUAAUUGAGUAUAACUGAGUGACUUCUCACGUAAGCAUCAAUAAUCAAUACCGUUUGCUACUAUGCAACCACGCGUAUUACUGUACUUUUACUACCGGGUAGUUCAACAGUUUAACGGUAAAACUUCCGUCGUUAUUUUUAAAAAGAUAAUUAUGUCGUUUUCUAACUACGACAAUACUUCCGUUGUGGGGUCCACCAAUGAGUGUGUCAUCGUACGAAUAUUCCCUGUUAAAAUGAAUAUUCUCCGACCAAUCGAAUAUUAUAUAACCACUUGCUUACUUUGUAAAAUUUGUAAAUAUUACCCACAACUAUAACAUUAUAUCAAAUCUACACCAUAAUAUUCAAAAAUAUAUUUCGAAAAAAUUAUUCUUUAUUCAUAAAAGUUGGGGUCUUACACAAGUACCCUCUAUUGCGAGAAAGGCAUCACCACAAAAUACAAAAUAAUCAUAGUGCUCAAAUUUCCAAGUCUAGAAUUAAGAAUGGAAAAUACGAUAAAAAGAAUCUCAACCUGUAUCACACGACACCCAUGUGGAUGUGUUGAAAGAGUCAAAACUUGAUUAAAGACUGUUGAGAUAAUGAAUUGAAUAUGAUCUUCAGGAACACAUUCAAUACACUUUUGGAUUGAGAGGUUUUAACAGAGAAAUUCAUCAGGAUACAUCUCAGGAAAGACUAUAAACAGAUAUAUGUAACAUGUGGUGCAUAACAUUAUUAUGAGAAUAUAUAGUACUAUAUACUAUUGUGUUGAUAAACAUUAAAGUGCAACAUAAUUAGAAAUGACACCCUACUCAAACUAAUAUACAUCAAAAAUAAAAUUCACCUUAAAAGAUUCAUUCAGUAGUCAAGAGAAGAUGUUAAGAGAAUGAAGAAUUCUUCACACGGCCAGGCCAAGCAAGAGCAACACAUGAAGAAAAGAGACGUAAUGUUAACAGAUAAUAGUUAAUUACUUCUAUGACUUAUUUUGGAGACAUUAAUUUCCUAAAAGAUCCAAAUACGGAGUUGGGCUCAACCCGUAAAGUUUUAACGUAGAUAGUACACUGGAUUUUCGUCUAGCCCACGCAAGAAAAGCUUCAGCAUGAGACAAAAGAUUUACUUUUAAUCCAUAAAAUAAAAUAAUAAAUUAAUGAAGGGUAAUAAAAAGUUGAUAAACCCGUUGUCAUGAUAAGUUAAUAAUCCCGCCAUAGAGUUCAGUUGGGCUAGCUGUAACAUCAAGCAGCUAGAGCAGAGCAGAGACCACGCUUGCCAGUAGUAGUUAGUUGCCUUAUUUCUAUAGAAAAAUCUCUUGAAUAUAAAAAGGAUAGGAAAAGGGAGUUGACUAGUUUUGAUAUUGCUAGUACUCCUCUUCCAUUUUAUACAACUAAUAAAAAUUGAGAUGCUAAUAUUAAGGGAGGUUAAUGUCCAAAAAAAGAAGUAUUAAGGAAGUAUGACUCUAUUACGUACCAUCAAAUAAAUCUGAGAGGGUUAUGGUGCUUUUUAAAAUAUAGUGAUAUUUCCAGCGAAAUAAGCAAUAUUUAUAGGCCAACCUACAACUUUUAACACGACAUAAUUUGGCGGAGCAUUUUGGAACCACAUAACACAUAUAGUUGCGGAUAAAUGCAAGAGAGAGAAAGAGGAUAAUUUCAACAUUUUAUUAUUGUGAAAUUACAUAUCUAACUAUUUGAAUAACAGAGUUAACACCUGCAGUGUACGUCCUUUGAAACUUGAGAUUUAGAAAGUUAAUAGAACAAUAAAAUAAUUUUACCAAAAGAGAAACAAUUGUAAAAUUCCAAUCCAAGCCAAAAGCAAGAGGUGCAUCCCAAUAUCAAGAACAUCUCUUAGUCUAGUAGCAGCUGCAUAGACAACCAAAUUAAACGGAUUAUCAGUGGGAUACAAAUCUCCCCUUGGUGGGCCUGUGAAGUAAAUGAACCUUGGUGGUGGUGGUGCUCAUGGAGUGCAAUACUGCGUGGACGGAGGGUUUAUUGGAGGAACUGAGUAGGGAUUUUUCCAAAAUAGACUUUUAGGAAUAGACCAAAGCUUGCAUAUCGUCGUUAUAGUGAUAUGCUGUGCAGGUUGUUCUAACCACAAAUGGUUGCCUUUCUCACAAAAACAGAGAAAAAGUAUCCCAGAAAUCACAAAAGUAGCACAGAUCUACACAACAUUUUGAAAUUAUAUAUGCAAUGAUUGAAAUAAUUAACAAUACAAUCAUUCCAAUUGCAACAUAAAUUGACUCUAAAUAACAAAAAUUAGCAAGAAAAAUUAAAACCUGAGUUUUAGGAGAAAUUAACAAGGGAGGAAAUUAAAACCUUCAAUUGGACAAUAAUGAAAAAAUUAAAGGAGAAAGAGAAGAGAGAGCAGGUCGCCAUAACAAUACCGCCAAUAUUUAUGCCGCCACGACGCCACUAUUAUGCCGCCAUUACUGCUAGGGUUAGAGGGAGUUGAGAGAGAGGGGAAAGAGAUGUGAGAGGGCUUAUUUGAGUGAGGGGAAAGAGGGGCGCAGCCGACCUUGAGAUGCAUGCGAUCGAUCUAGUGAGGGAAAAGAACGAUCAAGUAGGUCUUUUUUCCCUUUACUUUUUUUCUCUGCGACUGGUGAAAUAAGAGUGAGAGAGCUAGGCCACAACGCUCCUGAUUGAACCAUCUGUUUAUUCAGACCUAGGCCACGUUCAUGUAGCUCUCUGAUUAAAACAUCUGUACAUGAAUUUUG
rnacentral:lncRNA from 1 species